AAUGCCUCUUGCUCCUGAGUAAUUAUCACCAGUGACCUUAUUCAUUCUAAGCCGUGUCCAGUUUGAAAGAAGACUCUAUGCUCUUUCCUAGCCACAGGAACAUUAAAUGACAAGAUGUGUGGAAAGCCAGUCCUGGGCUUUUGGUCCUCACUCUCCCUCCUCUUCUCUGUGCAUGAAAGAAGGGAAAGUGGCAGGCUCUUCAUUACUGCAGCCUCACCUAAUGACACACCUGAAACACAAAAGCACCAGGGCACUCCUACUUCGUGGGCAUUUAACUGAAGAAUCACUUUAGCAAAGUGCUUUACCCAGGGUCAUCUAGGGAAUACAAUUUCACUUCCAUUAAAAGAAAAGGCACAAUUCUUCAUUUGAAGGUUACAUGUGGAGAAAGGAAAUGGAUGGUGAUUUGCAAAAAUCCUGCUGGAAAGUAUCGUACUUUGCAGCACGUACUCAUCUGCUCCAGGUUGCCCUCUCCAUGUGCAGAGAAAGAGCUGCAAGUCAAUGUGGAUCAGUAUGAUUAAUAAACAUUGUAAUCCUAAAUGUGCUACCAAUUGUUUACUUAGAAUAACGGGGCUUACUGAUAAGACAACUUAGCAAAUGAUGAUUGUUUUUGUUAAGUCUAUUGGCAUUGAAAGCACUAUACAUGCCCUAAUUUCCACAUGCUGAAAACAAAACUGAAAUAUUCGCUAUUAACAUUGAGAAAUACUCUGAACACCAAGGAAAAGGAUCCGGAAACAUCAGUAGUCAACAGAUGUAUGGUAUGUUUGGAAUUACAUGUAUGGUAUGGUAUGUUUCUAGCUCCAUCACUCUCUAGCCGUGUUAUCUCAAGGGGAUUUCUAUGGGCUUCAGGUUCAUUGGCUAUAAACUAAAUAGUUUGGAAGCCUCUGUUUCCAACAUUCCUUCCAUCACCAAAGUUCCAUGAUUUUAUAGUUCCUUAGUGUAAAGAUUACUAUCAUACGAUGCAUCUUCUGGGCUCCUCUCUAUCCUGGAGACACAUCUAUGCCAUCACUCUUCCACCCCCACCAAGUCCUAGUGUUCUGCCAGGACUCCCCCACUGGCAUCUCUGUGCUUCCUUAUCACACCACUGUGAUGGGUUUCUGCAUUUUCCUUGACCUGCCCCCAUCCAGUUCCACUUGAGGGACAAGAGGUUGCUAGGUAGGGGAGGGACCCACUGCAAGAAUUAGGAUGCUCUCCAUUUCCACCUCGACCCUCUCCUCCAUCCUCCAAAAGGUAGCCCAUCUGCCCAUGCCCAAUUUAUCACCUACAAAAACAGAUCAUUUGUCAGUCAACACUUCUGUUUUUACUGCAAUACAUUCUUUAGCCAAAUGGUUUAGGCUGUAGGUGAAGGGCGAGCCUCAACUGGGGCAAGUUGGUCAACUCUCUUUUUAUUAACUGCCAACUGAGCAUUCAGGAGAACCAAUUCUGAAUAAGCUUGGCUUGAAAAGCCACCGUGGAUCUUUUGACCUUUACUUGCUGGUGCUGCCUUUGGGCUCAUGCUCCUACGAGCAGCGCACAGAUGGGAUCUGUGCGAUCUCAGGCAAUCCGUGCAGGUAGCAAACUCUCCAUUUCAGGAAGAGUGAUGGACUAAUGAAAUGAGGACGCAUCACUCCACUUGGCACCGGCCAACCGCCCACAGAGGUGGAAUAAUUCAUCACAGUCAAUUACAGACACCAUUACAUAAGGGAUAAAGAAAAGCAUGUGCCCAUUAAGCUUCUAGCCCAGACUGUUAAAGUCACAGGAUUAAUACCGCCCAUGAAUCUUCCUAUGCUUUGAUUCAUAUGAACUCUAGUUUAGUCCAUAGGAACAAACAGGCCAGAAGACUUGGAUAUACAAAGUGCCAAACUUAUUUCAAGAACAUAUUUAAAAGUACGCUGUUUACUCUGAUUUAGAAGACAGUAUUUAUAGCCCGAUCGUAUCAGAGAAUGAACAUUACAAUUACCACUCUGUCCUUGUCACAUUUUGUGACUUCCUCUAAGAUAAUUAGUAUGAUUGCUUAAGGCUGUGGGAGUAUUAACACUCCCCCCCCUUUUUUUUUUUGAAACUGCUGGAGAUGUUGUUGUUAUUUGGGUCAAAUAUCUUAAAACUUCCCAGAAAGAGUUUUCAAAAAUAAUUCCGGGAGGCAAAUGAAGGAAUCACCAGGGAGAUGCUAGAGAAGGCAGGGGCACCGAGUCAUUCAGGAUGAGUCACUUGGGAAUGGAUAAUGAACUGAGGAUUGAAAGUCCCCCUGGACAAGACAUGAGAACUUCUAGUGUGAUCAGUGAGGGCAGACACUGGGUGGAGGAGGACAGGAGUUACUGAGUCAUGGAAGAGGAGGCUGACAUGCGGCUAGAAUGACCCCACGGAUGAUGGGCCAGGUUGAACUUCCCUAGGCUUUAAGUCUAGAAGAAGACUCCAGGAGGCUGCCAUUCCCAAGAGCAGCUCUACCUUGAGUAUCAUAGCAUCAUCACAUAACCAGACUGAGCUCAGACUAAAUAUCACUGAGGACUAACAACUGCAUGCACUUUGUUCCUGGCUGUUGGAAAAUUCACGAAUAUACCUGGGCACAGACAAGAAGUUAGCAGAGACCGUGCUACAGUCACCCAUGUGGGAAAUCAAUAACUGGGACCUAAAUGAAUAAGUCAUUGGCACUGAUGUAAUAAAGACCAGGACAGAAGAUCUUGUGGAAGAGCAAGAUACUGCAGGAACACGAACAACAGGUGAAUCACUGUUUUAGGAAAUGUGAGGAAGAAAAGGACAGAAAAGUGUCAAACUCUGGCUUGGGCAGAAUGAUGAAGGUUUUCAUGUUUAAAGAGCAUCAGAAGUGGGAAAGAAUUUGGUGUUCUAUGUGGUGGGAACUUGGAGAUACAAAACAUCAGCAAAUAUGUUAGAAAAUGUUCACAUGGAGAAAUACUUUACGGAAAUUGGGAAAGUGUGAAAUUCGUGCAUUGCUUUGAAGUGACUCGUUUCAGAAUGAAUGCUGAAGUUUAGGAAUAUGAACUCAUUAUCAUCAAACUAUUAAACUUUAUUACUUGCUCACAAAACGAUUUUGUUCUCCUUAUUGGAAGUAAAGACAUGGAAAAAGAAAAAAAAAAAACUGUAACUUUUUAAGGUGGCGAGGGGUGGGGAUGAGACUUGUAAAAAAUCCUCUCUGUUACCACUCCUACCCUAGUCAAUCAAUCUCAUUGUAGAAAAUGGAUAAAAAGUUGAGAAAAGAAAUAAAAUGACCUAAAAUGCAAUUAACUCACGUAAUUCUGCUUCAUUUUUCUGCAUAUAAAUAUACACACACUGUUUUCGAAGUCGUGAUCAUAUUCUACACACAGUGCUGUCUUUAGUUGGAUGUUAACAUGUCAGUUGCACAUUCCCAUGUGACCAGCCACCCCUGAGAGGUGAAAGAUCUAGGACUAAUUUAGGGAGACUGUUCCAUAUGAGACUGGUAUCUUCAGGAGUCAGCUAAGCACAGAUGUUUCUGUAGGCAACAGGCAGGAAAAGAAACAGGUACAAAAAAAGGGAGCUGGAGGAUCACAUCACUGACUGGGACGGACAGGUGAUAUCCUAAGGAACAGCUAGAAAUGGGCAUAAUCUAAAGAGUUCUGGCCAUGCUUUUGAAAAUGGCAAGGACAAUUUUAAGCAUAAAGCUUUGAGCUUUAGGAACAUCACAUAAAGAUGCUUUCAAGGACUGUUUCUGGUUAAUUCACUACUGUAUUUAUCAAACACAUCCACGGCAUGACUAUGGAUUCACGACACUUCUAUGAGGUGGAUGCUAUUAUUAUUCUCAGUAUGCAAGUUAAAAAGUAAUGCAUGUUUUCACAUUUUAUUUUAAAUCUUCAACUUUUUUUUUUUUUUUUUUUUGCUUUUUUUUUAGGCUGCACCCCAGCAUAUGGAGGUUCCCAGGCUAGGGGUCUGAUCAGAGCUACAGCUGCCGGCCUAUGCCACAGCCACAAAGAAAAAAAAUAAAACAAUAAAAAAGGUUCGAUAAUAUCUAUAUUUGGGAUGAACCCUCUUCUGAGAUUUUCAAACCUACAAUGAUGCUUUCUUAGUCUGUUUCAUACAAAUUGUUUAUGACAGCAAGGAAUAAAAAGAAUAUAAACAAAAAGUGAGUUUCAUAAAAUGAUAUAAAUGAUAUCAUUUAUAAAUGACGUCAUUUAUAAAUGGUGUCAUUUAUACCAGGAGUAGUAUCAUAUUCCCUUAUCCAAAAACUGAAUGCAGUUCUCAUGAAAAAAGGAGACUAUAAUUUCAGAAAUUAUAUAUCUGAUUUUUAUUGGCCCCAUCAAGAGAGAAUUUUUAGCACCUCUGUGCUUUGCAAUGAUAUUUUUAGAUGGAACAUAUUUUUAUUAAAAGAAAUAGUUGAUUUUUAUGUGGCUAUGAAAAAAGCACCACAAAUAUGAUUCCACUUGGUGAUGGAUAGGGUCUGGAUGCUGCUCUGUCUCCUGGUGGUCUAUUGCUCUUGCAGGUCCUAGAUGUCAUCAGUCUGAAGAUUAUGAAAGGAGAGACUGAGCCAUAUGCCAGACAAAGGAACCAUGCAAUAGGAGCAUAAAUCAUCUGACUGGAUGACUACUCUCUGCUAAGUCAUGGAAUAAAAGUGUAUCCAUGUUUCCUAAUUACUAGUUGUUUUUUUUUUAACUCUGGAUUACUAGUUUUAAAAGAAGACAGGAUUUCGUUCAAUGAAUUCAAAAUGUUCUUGUAAUAGCUCUAUUUUGCUUUUGAGUUUAAACAUAUAUUGUGACAUUUAUUGACUGAGAGAUAAUGAAGUACUGAAAAUACAUUCCUAUAGAAAUCAAAGCUCACACUUGUAUUGGACAAGGGCAUACUAAAGAUCUAAGCUCUGAUGAAACUAUAGUGGGAUAUUAUGCUUGAUUUAUACAAACACUAAUGUGUUGAAGCUGAAAUAUUACCAGAAAGAUAAUCUAUGGAUUCAUUAUUUGUCAUCUUUCCUGCUUUGAACAUUACCUGAUACUGUCUCAUAUUCUUAACAGAAAUUCUUUCUCUCUCUCACCCAUAUAUACAUAAAUAUAACAAAUAUAUACAUAUAUCAUAUUGUAUCACUGAAUGAGUCAUGAUUAAAGAAUUCCAAUAUAUCUCGUCCCAACAAAACAAAAGGUUAAUACCACUAGCUUAAAAUGUGACUUGCAACUGUCUCUAAAUAUCAGCUACAAAUGAGCCCAUAAUGAUAAUUUUCUGCAUUAUGUUGCUAACUACUGAAUUACUUAGCCUAAGGAAAAUAGAGUAAUGAUGGUAUGGAAUAAAGAGCCUAAAAGGGGAAAUGGUUGAAUUGUGGUAAAAUAAAAAAAUAGUGAAAUGAGGAUACUCUCUAUCUACAGCGUUUUCAUUGCUUUUUUAUUUGUUCAAUCUCACUUUCUCAAUCUCUAAUGAAGAACUCAGUGGCAGCUUGUGC
rnacentral:lncRNA from 1 species